UACGUAGGGAGCAAGCGUUUGUCCGGAAUCAUUGGGCGUAAAGCGCGCGUAGGUGGCCACAUAAGUCCGUUGUGAAAGUCAAAGGCUCAACCUUUGAAAGCCGAUGGAUACUGUGUGGCUAGAGUACGGAAGAGGCGAGUGGAAUUCCUGGUGUAGCGGUGGAAUGCGCAGAUAUCAGGAGGAACACCAAUAGCGAAGGCAGCUCGCUGGGACGUUACUGACACUGAGGCGCGAAAGCGUGGGGAGCAAACAGG
rnacentral:rRNA from 1 species